AGCACAGGGACACAGGAGUGGAAGGAAAGCGAGGAAGAGGAAAAACUCGUAUCGAAAGAUAUAGUGAAAAUAGAAAGUAACGAAUUUCCAAGAAGCACACUGGCGAGAAAAGCUUGUAGAUAUUGUAUAGAGGUGCCCGUACCGCAAACCGACACAGGUAGAUAGGAAGAGGAUCCUAAGAUGAGCGAGAGAAGCAUUGUUAAGGAACUCGGCAAACUGACCCCGUAACUUAGGGAGAAGGGGUACUGGGAUAAAACCCAGUCGCAGAGAAUAGUCCCAAGCAACUGUUUAACAAAAACACAGGUUUCUGCUAAAUCGAAAGAUGAAGUAUAGGAGCUGACACCUGCCCAGUGCUGGAAGGUUAAGGGAAAAUGUCAAGAGUAAUCUGAAGCAUAGAACCAAAGCCCCAGUGAACGGCGGCCGUAACUAUAACGGUCCUAAGGUAGCGAAAUUCCUUGUCAGGUAAGUUCUGACCCGCACGAAAGGUGUAAUGAUUUGGGAGCUGUCUCGACAAUGUACUCGGCGAAAUUGUAGUACUAGUGAAGAUGCUAGUUACCUGCGACAAGACAGAAAGACCCCAUGGAGCUUUACUGUAGUUUGAUACUGGGUUUUGAUUAUUUAUGUACAGGAUAGGUGGGAGGCUAUGAAGCAUUGGCGCCAGUCGAUGUGGAGUCACCCUUGGGAUACCACCCUUAAGAUAUUGAAAUUCUAACCAAUAGUCAUAAACUGGCUAGGGGACAAUGUCAGACGGGCAGUUUGACUGGGGCGGUCGCCUCCAAAAGAGUAACGGAGGCGCGCAAAGGUUUCCUCAGCGCGGACAGAAAUCGCGCAAAAGAGUGCAAAGGCAGAAGGAAGCUUAACUGAGAGACUGACAAGUCGACCAGAUACGAAAGUAGGUCUUAGUGAUCCGGUGGUUGUAAGUGGAAAUGCCAUCGCUCAACGGACAAAAGUUACCCUGGGGAUAACAGGCUUAUCUCCCCCAAGAGUUCACAUCGACGGGGAGGUUUGGCACCUCGAUGUCGGCUCAUCACAUCCUGGAGCGGAAGUACGUUCCAAGGGUUGGGCUGUUCGCCCAUUAAAGUGGUACGCGAGCUGGGUUCAGAACGUCGUGAGACAGUUCGGUCCUUAUCUGUCGCAGGCGGAGGAUAUUUGAGGGGAGUUGGCCCUAGUACGAGAGGACCAGGCUGAACUUACCAAUGGUGCACCAGUUGUCAUACCAAUGGCAUAGCUGGGUAGCUAAGUAGGGAAGGGAUAAACGCUGAAAGCAUCUAAGUGUGAAGCCCACCCCAAGAUAAGAUAUCCCAUACCGUAAGGUAGUAAGAUUCCACGUAGACUAUGUGGUAGAUAGGUUGGAGGUGUAAGUAUAGUGAUAUAUUAAGCUGACCAAUACUAAUAAAUCGAGGGCUUAACCA
rnacentral:rRNA from 1 species